GACACAGUGAGAAGAUGAACAUCCAUAAACCAGGAAGCAGGUCCUCACUGGACACUAAAUCUACCAGCACCUUCAUCUUGGACCUUCCAGCCUCCAGAACUGUAAAAAAGAAAUCCUCCUGCCUGACUGCCUUUGAAGUGGGACAUCACCUUUCCCUGCCUUUGGCUGUGAACUGAAAUAUCUACUCUUCCUGGGUCUUGAGCUUGCUGGCCUUUGAACUGAAACUACACCAACAGUUCUCCUGGUUCUCAGGACUUCAGGUAAAAGCAAAUGGUUUCUGGAAGUCCUUGAAAAUUGGCAUGGAGGAAGAGUCAUUAGCCAGGCCAAUACCUGCAUACCGAGUUCCAGGGGUUAUGUUGAUUUGUUUCAGUAAAUAUACUAUAGCUGGAACAGCAGCUACAAUUGGAGUCACCAUCUGAUUAAAUUUAUCAUAGUCUAUGGUCAUUAUGCAAGAUUCAUCUGACUUCUACACAGGCCAAACUGGCUGGAACCAUCAAAGUCCUUAGAUCAACUUUAAGUGCUGGAUGGAGUAAAAAAAACCACAAAAGACUGUUGGGCGAUCUGUGAACAGACUGGCAAACAAGCAGAUGACAAAACCAAACCAAAAAGGAUGGAAAGACUGUUCUGGGGAACUAGUCAAAUUAUUUGCUUAUGAAAAUGUUAGAAAUAAACUAAAACAUUAAUAAAUGAAAUCAAAAUUUUAAACUGAGCUCCAGGCU